rnacentral:rRNA from 1 species
CAUCGGGGGAAAUGGGCCUUAGUACGGCGAGUGAGCGGCAAAAGCUCAAAUUUGAAAUCUGGCACCUUCGGUGUCCGAGUUGUAAUUUGAAGAAGGUAACUUUGGAGUUGGCUCUUGUCUAUGUUCCUUGGAACAGGACGUCACAGAGGGUGAGAAUCCCGUGCGAUGAGAUGCCCAAUUCUAUGUAAAGUGCUUUCGAAGAGUCGAGUUGUUUGGGAAUGCAGCUCUAAGUGGGUGGUAAAUUCCAUCUAAAGCUAAAUAUUGGCGAGAGACCGAUAGCGAACAAGUACAGUGAUGGAAAGAUGAAAAGAACUUUGAAAAGAGAGUGAAAAAGUACGUGAAAUUGUUGAAAGGGAAGGGCUUGAGAUCAGACUUGGUAUUUUGCGAUCCUUUCCUUCUUGGUUGGGUUCCUCGCAGCUUACUGGGCCAGCAUCGGUUUGGAUGGUAGGAUAAUGACUAAGGAAUGUGGCUCUACUUCGGUGGAGUGUUAUAGCCUUGGUUGAUACUGCCUGUCUAGACCGAGGACUGCGUCUUUUGACUAGGAUGUUGGCAUAAUGAUCUUAAGCCACCCGUCUUAACCACGGGGACCAAAAAAAAAAAAAUAAAUUUUUUUUUUUUUUUCUUCUCCUCUUCUUUUGCCCGGCAAAUCGGAAUACGCUGUGGUUAUGAGAUGCAAACCUGGGAAGAGG